AGGCCCUGGUCGGUGCGAUCGGCCUGUUCGUGGCGGGCAACAGCAUCGGGGGCAUGAGCGGCCGGAUCGUCUCCGGCUGGGUCGC
rnacentral:tRNA from 1 species